rnacentral:lncRNA from 1 species
AUGGAUCGGUCGGUCGAUCCACAGAGCUAGAGCAUAGUCCACAGGAAACUUCAUGCAGUCCACAGGCAUGGCUCACAGUGAGAGAAGAAUUUUGGGUAUGAUCCAACGAUUGAAAUUCAUCCCGACCCAGAUCCGACAGUCAACAUCCAUUAUCGAUUUAUAAGAGGGGUUUUUGCGUGAUCUGAUGGCCCAAAAGUGAUUCGUCAU